ensembl:lncRNA
GGGAAAAGGAAAAUAUCCGCAGAGGCUGUCCCAUAUCCUAAAGAAAAUCAUGAAGGAGAAGGCAGCACAUGGUGGGUGUAUUUCUGUCUGUUCACUGAAAGGUGUAGGAAGCUGAGUUUCUAGAAAUCUACAUGGAGAAACUGUAGUGUGCACAGCAGGAAAGGACGGAGCAGAGCCUUGCUGUGGUGAUGUCUGUUCUCAAUGACUUAGGAACUUUGUCCUUUUGGGAACAAGGCCACUGAAACCACAUUCAGCAGAUGAUGAGAGGAAACAGGACCCUCCAGCGUACCUCCCUCUCACAGCCCCUGCAUUCCAGAGCUUGCUGUGUCUCCCUUGAGGCGCCAGGCACACCAGCAACCCCGAGUUUGCAGAUCCCUUCUGCAAACUGAGGUCCAGAGGGAUGCGCUGACUCAGAGAUGGGGCAGUGGCAUAGAGGGAGCCUCCCUGUCCUGCCUCCUCUGUGCCUGCACCAUGCCAAGACUUUGCCUUUCUCUCAUUCUUCACAGUGCUGUCAGAGCCCCGGGAAGCCCAACACAACAGGAUCUAUGAUCCUUUUCUGAAGAAUCCAGGUGUGGAUGGUGAAGGACGUGCAAAAGCCGAGCAAAUUAAAGCUACACAGAAGUACUACCUGGAACUUGCUGCAGCUGUCCCGGUUUCCCUAUUGCUAGGGAUGAUUCUGUGCUGUCUACUUAUCUGGCGAUGGAGGCAGAGAAACCAGCGCCUCGCUGCAGCUGAUGAAGCCCGGGAUGAUAGCAGCAGCUCCAGUUCAGAGUCAGAUGAACAGCCUGCCCAC